rnacentral:lncRNA from 1 species
UUUUUUGUCAUUUUCCGUGCGUGUUUAUGAUCCAAUAAUAUGACAUUGACAAAGGAAUUACUGCAGAGGACAGCGCAAGGGGGCAAACGAUUAAUAAGAUGGCUCCAGAAGGAGAGGCUGGUUGGAAGGAAAAAACUAUGCCCUGUGUGCAACAACAGAAUGCAAUUCAAAAGAACCAACACGACCAUGGAUGGUUACAGGUGGAUCUGUAGAAAGGCCAACCACAGGGGAAGGUGCAUCACAAGGUCCAUCAGAGAGGGCUCAAUAUUCUCCAGAUCCCACAUUCCACUACCAUCAUGGAUGACAAUAAUGCACAGUUUGUCACAGGGUUUGAGGAAGAGGCAAGUGGACAUGAUAGAGGAUGGAGUAUGUGGGAGCAGCAAAUCACUGACCAGGGUGACUACACUUCUGAGGGAAAUCUGCAGUGAAGCAAUCAGACGACUGGAAGGAAGACGGGAAAUGCAAAUUGGAGGGAGGAGAGCUUUUGUAUCAAUAGACGAGAGCAAAUUCAGACACAAAAGAAAGGUAUGUUUUUGUAAGUAAAAUG